CGGGUCGGCGUACAGGUGCUGCAUGGCUGUCGUCAGCUCGUGCUGUGAAGUGUUGGGUUAAGUCCCGCAACGAGCGCAACCCUGCUAUCUGUUGCCAGCAAGUAAUGUUGGGGACUCAGAUGGAACUGCCGGUGACAAACCGGAGGAAGGUGGGGACGACGUCAAGUCAUCAUGGCCCUUAUGUCCUGGGCUACACACGUGCUACAAUGGCCGGUACAGAGCGCAGCGAAGCCGCGAGGCGAAGCGAAUCGCAAAAAGCCGGUCUCAGUACGGAUUGGAGUCUGAAACCCGACUCCAUGAAGUUGGAAUCGCUAGUAAUCGCGCAUCAGCAUGGCGCGGUGAAUACGUUCCCGGGCCUU
rnacentral:rRNA from 1 species